CCUACGGGAGGCAGCAGCCGCGGUAAUACGUAGGGGGCAAGCGUUAUCCGGAUUUACUGGGUGUAAAGGGAGCGUAGACGGCAGCGCAAGUCUGGAGUGAAAUGCCGGGGCUCAACCCCGGAACUGCUUUGGAAACUGUGCAGAUAGAGUGCGGGAGAGGUAAGCGGAAUUCCUAGUGUAGCGGUGAAAUGCGUAGAUAUUAGGAGGAACACCAGUGGCGAAGGCGGCUUGCUGGACCGUAACUGACGUUGAGGCUCGAAAGCGUGGGGAGCAAACAGGAUUAGAAACCCUGGUAGUCCAAGAUC
rnacentral:rRNA from 1 species